GCUUACGGCCACACCUACCUCAGCACGCCCGAUCUCGUCUGAUCUCGGAAGCUAAGCAGGGUCUGGCCUGGUUAGUACUUGGAUGAGAGACCUCCUGGGAAUACCAGGUGCUGUAAGCU
ensembl:rRNA 5S_rRNA 5S ribosomal RNA